rnacentral:rRNA from 1 species
GCCUCCAUGAAGUCGGAAUUGCUAGUAAUGGCAGGUCAGCAUACUGCCGUGAAUACGUUCCCGGGCCUUGUACACACCGCCCGUCACACCAUGAGAGUUGGAGAUACCCGAAGCCUAUGAGCUAACUUUUAGAGGCAGUAGUCGAAGGUAGAAUCAAUGAUUGGGGUGAAGUCGUAACAAGGUAUC